rnacentral:misc_RNA from 1 species
AAAGUGUGCCGGUUGCAUCACCCACGUCGUUCUCUCUGCCCUUCGGCUUGGGCACGAGUGCGUUGGCGUGCUUCGGGUUGUUGGGUGCUGACGACACAUAAAAGACAAGAAGCACCAUCGUGGCUGUUCACGCAUAUUUUGCAUCCGUACCGUCCUUCUCCAGAGCCGCAGCUGCACAAUGUAUGUGGGAGGCAGCUGGGUAAAGCAGAAGUCACGGCUGCGUAUCUUCUCUCUCCCCCUCCCUCCCUCCCCCUCUUUCUCAUUCUCUGUGUGUGUGUGCCUGUGCCGGUCUUGGCACUGCUUCUCUCUUUUGCCUCCUCCUCUUCCUCUUCCUGUUCCUGCUGCUGCUCCUUCUCCCCUGUGCUGUUUCUCGGAGCGUGUCGUGCCGAAUCUAUACCACUCUCGCUAUCCGCCUGCCGGCCGCUGCGCUGCGACUUUUUUUUUUGUUUUUUCUCUUGUUUGAUCGGUGUUACGCGGCGCGUUUUCGUCUCCCCAUCCUCCUCCCCAUCCUCCUCCUCCCUUGCCCGUGACACACAUAUACCCGUGCACGAAUGGCACCGGAGAGCGGCCUUGCUCGCUGCUUCCUGCACCGCCUCCAGCGCGCUACGUUUCUGUUUCUUUCUCUGCUCGUGGCACUCUACGCCACCACUUCCUUGUACUACGUGGUGCGCAUCAGCGUGAUCGAGAGGCCUGACCUUUUCGAUCAGAUUGGCAGCAAUGUCAAGGGCUUCGCUCAACGGUGGGUGCCUUGGGCUGUGCCCAUGAGCGAGCACCUCGCUGCUAGCCCCAGCGCUGCCGAGGCUGGUGCGGCAUCGCUUCUCGUCACCUUGCGCGCCAGCUCCCACGAACCGUACACACAGAUGUACAAGGUUCUGCGGAUCGGCGAGCCUAUGACAAGGCAGCGCGUGCGCAACCCUGCCCUUCCGGCGGACGUACCGCUCUGGGACGACGACGGGGAGCGUGCAUCCGCGGAGCGCGGUGGCAGCCUUCGCGACGCCGUGCCGUCGCGUCAGCGCUACGUCCUGGACAAGCUUAAGUCGGGCAGGUGCUACAUGAUACGGCUCAGCUUCUUGGGAUCGCCAAGUGUUGGCUUUGACCUGGUGCUCUACCAAGUGCGCCGCUCCAGCGUGCAGAGGUUGCUCAAAGGCAGCAUCGAAGUCGCUGGCGCAACGUCUCCGACGGCACGCGGUUGGGCAGAGGAGCCACAGGACACAGAGCUGUUAGUCUUUUCCACCAGUCGUGACAACGCGCUCGAGUUCAGCGUCGAGAAGGACGUGUGGGUAGACAGAGAGGACAUCGAUGGCAUAGCGAGUGGCAGUGAUGGCGCCGACGCCACACUGCGGGGCGUCAUCCGGACAGCUUCUGGCACCGAUGAUCCGUUUGUGCCGGUUGUCGAGGUGCGUCCACGCACGCUUUCCAUCCCGGUGGAUGCCUACCGCGUGCCCAUCGUCCGCUUCAACAUAGAGCUGGAGCGGCUGAGCUCGUCCUUUCUGCCUCAGAUGGCUGUCCCCUUCAUGACCUACUUCGUGUGGGUACUCGUCUUUGUGGGGUACCUCGGUAUCUACACGCUGGUAAGCAGCGGCAUCGCUGGCGGCGAGGAGGCCAAGUAGAACCUUGACUAAGCCGACAGGACCGACAGCGACCCACAGUGGAGGGGUGAGGGUGAGAGUCCUGCGGAGUUCUUAACGGUUGCCUCUCCUUCGCAUCUUUCUCUCGCAGCAGCUCGCAGCCACAAUGGACACGCCCCACCUCUCGCUCUGCACACCGACGCGCACAUACAGCUGCCAUCUUCACGAGCUGACACGAACGUGCGUUGGCGAGUCGAUGCCGCCUGUAAAGCAGAGGAAGCUGGGAGCAAUGUAUGAGAGAGGGGGGAGGGAGGGAGGAAGAAGAGGAGAGGGUGAGGCACGGAGAGGUGCGGGUGGGCAGGGGCUCGCCCUCUUCGCCAAGACUGCGUUGUGGCGGGUCUGGGCAACGACCGCGUCAGCGCGACGCGAGCCCGCACACACGCAGUUACAUUGGUCGAUGCUUCUUUUUUUUUUGCAACCCACACCGCAG